ACGCUGGCGGCAGGCUUUAACACAUGCAAGUCGAACGGUAACACGAGAUUAGCUUGCUAAUCUGCUGACGAGUGGCGGACGGGUGAGUAAUGCUUGGGAAUCUGGCUUAUGGAGGGGGAUAACUACGGGAAACUGUAGCUAAUACCGCGUAAAAUCUUUGGAUUAAAGGGUGGGACUUUCGAGCCACCUGCCAUAAGAUGAGCCCAAGUGGGAUUAGGUAGUUGGUUAGGUAAAGGCUGACCAAGCCGACGAUCUCUAGCUGGUCUGAGAGGAUGACCAGCCACACUGGAACUGAGACACGGUCCAGACUCCUACGGGAGGCAGCAGUGGGGAAUAUUGCACAAUGGGGGGAACCCUGAUGCAGCCAUGCCGCGUGAAUGAAGAAGGCCUUCGGGUUGUAAAGUUCUUUCGGUGACGAGGAAGGUUGGUAGGUUAAUAGCCUAUCAAAUUGACGUUAAUCACAGAAGAAGCACCGGCUAACUCCGUGCCAGCAGCCGCGGUAAUACGGGGGGUGCGAGCGUUAAUCGGAAUAACUGGGCGUAAAGGGCACGCAGGCGGUGACUUAAGUGAGAUGUGAAAGCCCCGAGCUUAACUUGGGAAUUGCGUUUCAUACUGGGUCGCUAGAGUACUUUAGGGAGGGGUAGAAUUCCACGUGUAGCGGUGAAAUGCGUAGAGAUGUGGAGGAAUACCGAAGGCGAAGGCAGCCCCUUGGGAAUGUACUGACGCUCAUGUGCGAAAGCGUGGGGAGCAAACAGGAUUAGAUACCCUGGUAGUCCACGCUGUAAACGAUGUCGAUUUGGGGGUUGGGCUUUGAGCUUGGUGCCCGUAGCUAACGUGAUAAAUCGACCGCCUGGGGAGUACGGCCGCAAGGUUAAAACUCAAAUGAAUUGACGGGGGCCCGCACAAGCGGUGGAGCAUGUGGUUUAAUUCGAUGC
rnacentral:rRNA from 1 species